GUAGGGAGCAAACGUUGUCCGGAUUUAUUGGGGCGUAAAGGGCUCGUAGGCGGUUCAACAAGUCGGAUCGUGAAAGCCCCGGGGGGGCUCAACCCCCGGGGAGGGCCGGGUCGAAACUGUUGUGACUAGAGUUCGGUAGGGGUGAGUGGAAUUCUCGGUGUAGCGGUGGAAUGCGCAGAUAUCGAGAGGAACACCAUUAGCGAAGGCGGCUCACUGGGCCGAUACUGACGCUGAGGAGCGAAAGCGUGGGGAGCAAACAGGAUUAGAUACCCUGGUAGUCCACGCCGUAAACGAUGAACACUAGGUGUAGCGGACUGAUUCACGUCUGCUGCGCCGUAGCUAACGCAUUAAGUGUUCCGCCUGGGGAGUACGGCCGCAAAGGCUAA
rnacentral:rRNA from 1 species